UACGAAGGGGGCUAGCGUUGCUCGGAAUCACUGGGCGUAAAGCGCACGUAGGCGGGUUCUUAAGUCAGGGGUGAAAUCCUGGAGCUCAACUCCAGAACUGCCUUUGAUACUGGGAAUCUCGAGUCCGGGAGAGGUGAGUGGAACUGCGAGUGUAGAGGUGAAAAUUCGUAGAUAUUCGCAAGAACACCAGUGGCGAAGGCGGCUCACUGGCCCGGUACUGACGCUGAGGUGCGAAAGCGUGGGGAGCGAACGAG
rnacentral:rRNA from 1 species